rnacentral:rRNA from 1 species
GACGAACGCUGGCGGCGCGCCUAACACAUGCAAGUCGAACGAGCGAGAGAGAGCUUGCUUUCUCGAGCGAGUGGCGAACGGGUGAGUAACGCGUGAGGAACCUGCCUCAAAGAGGGGGACAACAGUUGGAAACGACUGCUAAUACCGCAUAAGCCCACGGGUCGGCAUCGACCAGAGGGAAAAGGAGCAAUCCGCUUUGAGAUGGCCUCGCGUCCGAUUAGCUAGUUGGUGAGGUAACGGCCCACCAAGGCAACGAUCGGUAGCCGGACUGAGAGGUUGAACGGCCACAUUGGGACUGAGACACGGCCCAGACUCCUACGGGAGGCAGCAGUGGGGAAUAUUGCACAAUGGGGGAAACCCUGAUGCAGCGACGCCGCGUGGAGG